rnacentral:rRNA from 1 species
GCAAGUCGAACGGGAAAUGCUUGGAGCUUGCUUUGAGUGUUUUUAGUGGCGGACGGGUGAGUAUCACGUGAGCAACCUGCCCAGAAGAUCGGGAUAGCCCGGGGAAACUCGGAUUAAUACCGUAUGGCAUCAGGAAUGGCAUCAUUCUCUGAUUAAAGGUGGGGACCCUUCGGGGCCUGCCGCUUCUGGAUGGGCUCGCGGCCUAUCAGCUAGAUGGUGAGGUAAAAGCUCACCAAGGCUACGAUCUUUAGCGGGUCUGAGAGGACGAUC